rnacentral:rRNA from 1 species
UCAGGAUGAACGCUAGCGGCAGGCUUAACACAUGCAAGUCGAGGGGCAUCGCGGGUGGCAACACCUGGCGGCGACCGGCGAACGGGUGAGUAACGCGUGAGCAGCAUGUCCUCAGUCGGGGGAUAAGCGAGGGAAACUUCGUCUAAUACCCCAUAACACUUUCAGGCGCAUGCCUUUAAGUUGAAAGCUUUUUUUGCGACUUUGGUUUGGCUCGCGUGACAUUAGCUAGUCGGUGGGGUAACGGCUCACCGAGGCUACGAUGUCUAGGGGUUCUGAGAGGAAGGCCCCCCACAUUGGGACUGGGACACGGCCCAAACUCCUACGGGAGGCAGCAGUGAGGAAUAUUGGUCAAUGGACGGAAGUCUGAACCAGCCAUGCCGCGUGAAGGAAGACUGCCCUAUGGGUUGUAAACUUCUUUUGCAGCAGAGCAAUAAGGCGUACGCGUACGCCGAUGAGAGUAUGUUGCGAAUAAGCAUCGGCUAACUCCGUGCCAGCAGCCGCGGUAAUACGGAGGAUGCGAGCGUUAUCCGGAUUUAUUGGGUUUAAAGGGUGCGUAGGCUGUUUUGUAAGUCAGCGGUGAAAGACCGGGGCCCAAC